UGAGAGUCAGGCAAAGAGAAGAGGAAAAGAAGGAAGAAAGAAGGUGAGUGAGUUGAGAGGAAAGAGAGCAGAGAAAUUCUCCAAGAGAGAAAAUUUAGUGAGCCACACAUAUUGUAAACACUAAAGUUGUAGCCCUAUUAUUUUAUAUAGUGGAAAAGUUACUGCUGCUGCUCUCCGAGGACGUAGGCAUAGCCGAACCUCGUUAAAUGUUGUAUCUCAUCUACUUUACGCACAGCUCAAUAUUUUAGCACAUAUUCCGUUCAUUUUACAACACAUUAUCAGCACGAAUUCGCUUUAACAAUACCAGCUGAAUUCUCUGAUGAAACCCAUAUCUCUUAUUCCUUUUUUCUUCUUCCUCAUCAUCAUCAUCAUGGAUUGAUCCCUGCUUCCAAAACCUCACUCUCACAUACACAACAGCACAGACUGCCCCAAGUUCCUCAUAUGGCCGCUCAUCAUCACUGGGGUCUCGAUCAUGGUGGUUGCAGAAGCCUACUAUAUGAACACUUUCCUCAUGUGGGUUUACCUGUUCAUCAUGUUCUUCAUCAUGACAGCUCUGACUGGCUUCAUCAUCUUCGCAUCUACUGUUGUUGUUCCAUCACUUUCCCUGUCUACAAUUCUCUCACUAAAUUCACAGACAAAUGAGAACGUUGUAGUUAUGGAAGCAAGGGAAGAAGAUAAUGUUUGUGGGUGUAGAUGCCCAAAGCUUUUUCACAAAGAUAGUCAUACUUGCCCACCAAGAUGUAUUCCAAAUUACUUUAGUGUGGUCAUUCAAGUGCUGGCACCCACCUCAUCUUUUUGUCUCUACGUUUUUAACAAAGAUGACAUAUGCCAUCAUUUCCCCAUUUCAAAAGCUCCG
rnacentral:lncRNA from 1 species